GAUGAACGCUGGCUGUGUGCCUAAUACAUGCAUGUCGAGCGGAAGUAGCAAUACUUUAGCGGCGAAUGGGUGAGUAACACGUGCUUAAUCUACCUCUUAGAUUGGAAUACCUAAUGGAAACAUUGGUUAAUGCCGGAUACGCAUGGAGUCGCAUGACUCCGUUGUGAAAGGGGCCUUUAAAGCUCCACUAAGAGAUGAGGGUGCGGAACAUUAGCUAGUUGGUGAGGUAACGGCCCACCAAGGCUAUGAUGUUUAGCCGGGUCGAGAGACUGAACGGCCACAUUGGGACUGAGAUACGGCCCAAACUCCUACGGGAGGCAGCAGUAGGGAAUAUUCCACAAUGAGCGAAAGCUUGAUGGAGCGACACAGCGUGCACGAUGAAGGUCUUAUGGAUUGUAGAGUGCUGUUGCAAGGGAAGAAAAAGUAGUUGAGGAAAUGCUUCUACAUUGACGGUACCUUGUUAGAAAGCGAUGGCUAACUAUGUGCCAGCAGCCGCGGUAAUACAUAGGUCGCAAGCGUUAUCCGGAAUUAUUGGGCGUAAAGCGUUCGUAGGCUGUUUAUUAAGUCUGGAGUCAAAUCCCAGGGCUCAACCCUGGCUCGCUUUGGAUACUGGUAAACUAGAGUUGGAUAGAGGUAAGCGGAAUUCCAUGUGAAGCGGUGAAAUGCGUAGAUAUAUGGAAGAACACCAAAGGCGAAGGCAGCUUACUGGGUUUAUACUGACGCUGAGGAACGAAAGCGUGGGGAGCAAACAGG
rnacentral:rRNA from 1 species